rnacentral:misc_RNA from 1 species
GAUGAAGAACGCAGCAAAAUGCGAUAAGUAAUGUGAAUUGCAGAAUUCAGUGAAUCAUCGAAUCUUUGAACGCACAUUGCGCCCGCCAGUAUUCUGGCGGGCAUGCCUGUUCGAGCGUCAUUUCAACCCUCAAGCACAGCUUGGUGUUGGGACUCGCGUUAAUUCGCGUUCCCCAAAUUGAUUGGCGGUCACGUCAAGCUUCCAUAGCGUAGUAGUAAAACCCUCGUUACUGGUAAUCGUCGCGGCCACGCCGUUAAACCCCAACUUCUGAAUGUUGACCUCGGAUCAGGUAGGAAUACCCGCUGAACUUAAGCAUAUCAAUAAGCGGAGGA